GACGAACGCUGGCGGCGUGCUUAACACAUGCAAGUCGAGCGGUAAGGCCCUUUCGGGGGUACACGAGCGGCGAACGGGUGAGUAACACGUGGGUGACCUGCCCUCAGCUCUGGGAUAAGCCUGGGAAACCGGGUCUAAUACUGGAUAUGACUCCAUGACGCAUGUUGUGGGGUGGAAAGCCUUGUGCGGCUGAGGAUGGGGCCCGCGGCCUAUCAGCUUGUUGGUGGGGUGANGGCCUACCAAGGCGACGACGGGUAGCCGGCCUGAGAGGGCGACCGGCCACACUGGGACUGAGACACGGCCCAGACUCCUACGGGAGGCAGCAGUGGGGAAUCUUGCGCAAUGGGCGAAAGCCUGACGCAGCGACG
rnacentral:rRNA from 1 species